rnacentral:rRNA from 1 species
GACGAACGCUGGCGGCGUGCCUAAUACAUGCAAGUAGAACGCUGAAGGAGGAGCUUGCUUCUCUGGAUGAGUUGCGAACGGGUGAGUAACGCGUAGGUAACCUGCCUGGUAGCGGGGGAUAACUAUUGGAAACGAUAGCUAAUACCGCAUAACAGUAGAUAUCGCAUGAUAUCUACUUGAAAGGUGCAAUUGCAUCACUACCAGAUGGACCUGCGUUGUAUUAGCUAGUUGGUGAGGUAACGGCUCACCAAGGCGACGAUACAUAGCCGACCUGAGAGGGUGAUCGGCCACACUGGGACUGAGACACGGCCCAGACUCCUACGGGAGGCAGCAGUAGGGAAUCUUCGGCAAUGGACGGAAGUCUGACCGAGCAACGCCGCGUGAGUGAAGAAGGUUUUCGGAUCGUAAAGCUCUGUUGUAAGGGAAGAACGAGUGUGAGAGUGGAAAGUUCACACUGUGACGGUAUCUUACCAGAAAGGGACGGCUAACUACGUG